rnacentral:rRNA from 1 species
CCCCUAGAUGUUCUGGGCCGCACGCGCGCUACACUGAACAGUUCAACAAGUCUUAACCUUGGCUGAUAGGCCUGGGUAAUCUUUGAACGUGAAUCGUGAUGGGGAUAGAUGAUUGCAAUUAUUCAUCUUCAACGAGGAAUUCCUAGUAAACGCAAGUCAUCAGCUUGCAUUGAUUACGUCCCUGCCCUUUGUACACACCGCCCGUCGCACCUACCGAUUGAAUGGUCCGGUGAAAUCUUCGGAUCUGAGAGAUGUCUGAUUAAUUUCGGACGCCUUUUGGAAAAGUUGCUUAAACCUUACCAUUUAGAGGAAGGUGAAGUCGUAACA